UACGUAGGUGGCGAGCGUUGUCCGGAUUUACUGGGCGUAAAGAGCGCGCAGGCGGUCGUUCAAGUCGAAUGUGAAAGCCCCCGGCUCAACUGGGGAGGGUCAUUCGAUACUGAUCGACUCGAAGGCAGGAGAGGGAAGCGGAAUUCCCGGUGUAGUGGUGAAAUGCGCAGAUAUCAGGAGGAACACCAAUGGCGAAGGCAGCUCGCUGGGACGUGACUGACGCUGAGACGCGAAAGCGUGGGGAGCAAACAGG
rnacentral:rRNA from 1 species